GCCAAACUUAUCAAUUAUCAUCCUUACCAACAUAAUACCAAUGGUAGAACGCAAGAAUGCAGAUAAAGCUUUCCUAUAUAAAGAGUUUAUCAUGUCUCCGAUCCCUUUCACCAAACGCAUCAUUGCCUGUCCAAGAUAUUGGGAUACCUUUGACAAAAUGCUAAAAACCGAGGUAAACCAAUUCCCUUUAGAGUUCACUUCCAAUUCCUUGCCUUCAGUCUGGUUACUUUUUCCACUUGAAUUGUCUUUCGUUACAUGCCCUAAAUUCAGGGGUGCUACAAUUGCAGGGGCAACAAGUAUCAGGGCAGCAACUCGCUCAGGUGCUUCAAAAUAUGCUUCAACUGCUACAAUGGAACCAGCUGAGUGUCCCACUAGAAUUGCCUUCUCAGCUGCUAAGAACUCAAUGAAGUAUAGAGUGGCCAACACAGAGAAUAUCAUGGAGUAUGGAUUAAAAGGUCUUGUGUCUUCACUUCCCUGAGAUGAAUGGUUCGCAUGAUUUAGCCUUGCCGUCAACCCAAAGGCUGGUCUGUCAAAGGCCAGAACUUUUUUCCCAGUGAUUUGAGCCAAGGGCUUCAUAGCUCGAUUCCAUG
rnacentral:misc_RNA from 1 species